AAUGCAGAUGCAGCGUACCGUAGUUUAACACUCACUAGCUCAGCUGUAUGUGCACUGAAUAAAACAAGGGGAGGGGAAGAAAAUAAAUUCCUUCUGAAGAAUCAUAUGACCAUGUGUCAGUGCUGCCAACACUCGUGCCGUAUUGCCACCUGUGCCUCUCACCAGCUGAAGAAAAUAGGUUAUUUCUUCAGAAGCGCCUGAUGGAGCAAGAGUAGCAGCACUUUCAUCAUGGAGACAGAGUGCCUGGCAUGAGUUAUGGAAGGGAGCCCUGAAGAGGAUGAGAAGAUCAGGGCAGUAGUCCGUGUUGGAGAGGGAGCCUUGUGUUGUUACUAUGGUGACGGUACACACUUCCUUCGGACCACACCCCCUGGGGAUGCCGGGUCGCUCUCCCGGAGCGCAGUUGAUGGUUCAUGCACGAGGUGACUCUGGGCACUCCACUCGACACAACUCCAGGAAACACAUGUUAAAUUUACACACAGAAUCUACAUUACGCCAGGUCAACGAAGAUAUAUGGUCCAUUCAGAAUCUGGGAACUGCCAGAAAUGCGGUACUUCUAAUGUUUUGUUUAUGCACUGUUUUUGGAACUGCCCUAAAAUAAAGACAUUUUGGUACAAGGUA